GUGCAGCAGUCGCGAAUUUUUCUCAAUGGGCGAAAGCCUGAAGGAGCGACGCCGCGUGGGGGAUGAAGGGUUUCGAUCCGUAAACCCCUGUCAUUUGCGAACAAACCUUAGCAUUUAAAAGAUGUUGAGCUGAUUGUAGUGAAAGAGGAAGGGACGGCUAACUCUGUGCCAGCAGCCGCGGUAAUACAGAGGUCCCAAGCGUUGUUCGGAUUCACUGGGCGUAAAGGGUGCGUAGGUGGCUUGGUAAGUUUGAUGUGAAAUCUCCGGGCUUAACCCGGAAAUGGCAUUGAAUACUAUUGAGCUGGAGGUUUGAGGGGGGACUGGAAUUCUCGGU
rnacentral:rRNA from 1 species